AGACACUAUUGAUUCGGUUGUUGAACUUGACUCAAGUAAAGUGAUAGAAGGAAAUGUUGAACUAGGAUUGCUAGUUGAUAAUUGUGGACACUAUUGGCUCGGUUGUGGAACCUGAAUCAAGUAAAGUGAUAGUAUUUGUUGAAGGAAAUGUUAAGCUAGGAUUGCUACAUAAUAAUUCUAUGUACUCUGUGUGGUCUGUAUCAUGUUUAAC